AGCAGGCUGUGCAUUCCCUGACAGCCCUUUCCCUGAGGGGAUGAAGCAGAAAGGUGAAGGAAACAUCCCAGGGAAAGCCAUCUCUGAGCUCCUCAGAUUAGGAAAACACAUAUCGAAAUCAGGAGGCCAGAUUGAAUUAGCCUCUCCACUCUCAGGCUCCUUUGCCACUUGCUCCAUCCAGGGCUCAUCCUGGGCCUCUCUAUCUGCUCCCUUCCCUGCUGGACUUUGCUGA
rnacentral:lncRNA from 1 species